CAGAGUUCUUGCCCCCCGGGGUAGACCUCCCACCCUUGAAUACAAUACUAUUGUUGCUUUGGCGAGCUGCCGCAAGGCAUCGGCUUCGGCUGACCUGCCCGCCAAAGGACCCAAUUCUUUUGUUUAGUAAUGUCUGAGUACUAUUUUAAUAGUUA
rnacentral:misc_RNA from 1 species